AUGAUGUUGUAAACCUAUAUAGACAUAAUUCAAACUGCUGACAUUUUUCAAGCAGCCUUCCACAAUUGAUAAGUUGUAAAUGUAAGUAGCCAUUUUAUCAAAGAGCAAGUUCUUAGUUAAAUCAAAUUUCAAAUCAAUCACCACCUUUAUGUAUAUAACAGAAUGUUUUCAAAGGAUAUAUGUUCUUCACUUGGUCUACAAACUGGACCUUUGCCAUGUAAAAAA
rnacentral:misc_RNA from 1 species